rnacentral:rRNA from 1 species
UACGUAGGGUCCGAGCGUUGUCCGGAAUUACUGGGCGUAAAGAGCUCGUAGGCGGUGUGUCACGUCGGCCGUGAAAACCUGGGGCUUAACUCUGGGCGUGCGGUCGAUACGGGCAUCACUAGAGUUCGGCAGGGGAGACUGGAAUUCCUGGUGUAGCGGUGAAAUGCGCAGAUAUCAGGAGGAACACCGGUGGCGAAGGCGGGUCUCUGGGUCGAUACUGACGCUGAGGAGCGAAAGCAUGGGUAGCGAACAGG